rnacentral:rRNA from 1 species
ACGAACGCUGGCGGCGUGCUUAACACAUGCAAGUCGAACGAUGAACCACUUCGGUGGGGAUUAGUGGCGAACGGGUGAGUAACACGUGGGCAAUCUGCCCUUCACUCUGGGACAAGCCCUGGAAACGGGGUCUAAUACCGGAUAACACUUCCACUCUCCUGGGUGGUGGUUAAAAGCUCCGGCGGUGAAGGAUGAGCCCGCGGCCUAUCAGCUUGUUGGUGAGGUAAUGGCUCACCAAGGCGACGACGGGUAGCCG